UACGCAGGCGGCUUGGUAAGACAGGCGUGAAAUCCCCGGGCUUAACCUGGGAACUGCGCUUGUGACUGCCGGGCUAGAGUCUGUCAGAGGGGGGUGGAAUUCCACGUGUAGCAGUGAAAUGCGUAGAGAUGUGGAGGAACACCGAUGGCGAAGGCAGCCCCCUGGGAUAAGACUGACGCUCAGGUACGAAAGCGUGGGGAGCAAACAGGAUUAGAUACCCUGGUAGUCCACGCCCUAAACGAUGUCGACUAGUUGUCGGGGAUUAACUUCCUCGGUAACGCAGCUAACGCGUGAAGUCGACCGCCUGGGGAGUACGGUCGCAAGAUUAAA
rnacentral:rRNA from 1 species